rnacentral:rRNA from 1 species
AACGAACGCUGGCGGCAUGCCUAACACAUGCAAGUCGAACGAGACCUUCGGGUCUAGUGGCGCACGGGUGCGUAACGCGUGGGAAUCUGCCCUUGGGUUCGGAAUAACAGUUGGAAACGACUGCUAAUACCGGAUGAUGACGUAAGUCCAAAGAUUUAUCGCCCGAGGAUGAGCCCGCGUAGGAUUAGCUAGUUGGUGAGGUAAAGGCUCACCAAGGCGACGAUCCUUAGCUGGUCUGAGAGGAUGAUCAGCCACACUGGGACUGAGACACGGCCCAGACUCCUACGGGAGGCAGCAGUGGGGAAUAUUGGACAAUGGGCGAAAGCCUGAUCCAGCAAUGCCGCGUGAGUGAUGAAGGCCUUAGGGUUGUAAAGCUCUUUUACCCGGGAUGAUAAUGACAGUACCGGGAGAAUAAGCUCCGGCUAACUCCGUG